AUACGAAGGGGGCUAGCGUUGUUCGGAAUUACUGGGCGUGAAGCGCGCGUAGGCGGACUGAUCAGUUGGGGGUGAAAUCCCAGGGCUUAACCCUGGAACUGCCUCCAAUACUGUCAGUCUUGAGUUCGGGAGAGGUGAGUGGAAUUCCCAGUGUAGAGGUGAAAUUCGUAGAUAUUAGGAAGAACACCAGUGGCGAAGGCGGCUCACUGGCCCGAUACUGACGCUGAGGCGCGAAAGCGUGGGGAGCAAACAGGAUUAGAAACCCUAGUAGUCC
rnacentral:rRNA from 1 species